ACUCCUACGGGAGGCAGCAGUGGGGAAUAUUGGACAAUGGGCGCAAGCCUGAUCCAGCCAUGCCGCGUGAGUGAUGAAGGCCCUAGGGUUGUAAAGCUCUUUCAGUAGGGAAGAUAAUGACGGUACCUACAGAAGAAGCCCCGGCUAACUUCGUGCCAGCAGCCGCGGUAAUACGAAGGGGCGUAGCGUUGUUCGGAAUUACUGGGCGUAAAGCGCACGUAGGCGGAUUGGUCAGUUAGGGGUGAAAUCCCGGAGCUCAACUCCGGAACUGCCUUUAAUACUGCCAGUCUAGAGUCCGAGAGAGGUGAGUGGAUUCCUAGUGUAGAGGUGGAAUUCGUAGAUAUUAGGAAGAACACCAGUGGCGAAGGCGGCUCACUGGCUCGGUACUGACGCUGAGGUGCGAAAGCGUGGGGAGCGAACAGGAUUAGAUACCCUGGUAGGCGUAG
rnacentral:rRNA from 1 species